AGUUGAUGACUCAUGCAAACCCACAAAAAUUAGUGUUGUAGAAGCUGCCUUGAACUGGCAAAUUGAAAAUGCCUUAGCACAGAACAGGGCUAUCAAGAAACUAGAUUCUAAAGUCUUCCAUCUGGAUUCAAAAGUCUCUAACGGUUGAAGCUAAGCUUGAUGAUAACUCCAAGAUGGUAAAAGACUUAAUUGCCCUUUUGCAGAAAUGCUUAAAAGAAGUUGCUAGAGAAAUGACUACUUUAGGAUAAGAUUUCUUUUCCGAUAUCACGCAAAGGGAUAAAGAAAUACAAAGGUUGAAAGAUCAGAUAAAAACUUUGAGGGAAACAGGACAAAUUCCUCCGCUAGAAAUGAAUCUUAGAGAUUUUGAUACAGAAUUCUCGCUAUUUCCUUCAAUCAGACAAAACAGUUGUCCAUCAGACGAAACUUUCAUUAAGUUUCUUGCAAUCCCUGAAAAGAAAAAACCAAGUCUACAUGAGCUUCAUAUACAGAUAAAAAAGAAAAUGGAGCAAGAAAAGAAAGAAGCUGAAGAAGAAGUUGAAACAAAGAAGAUUCAGGAGGAAGAAUCUUCCCAGGAUUACUCCAAACAAUUAGGAAAGAGACCCAUAAUUGAAUAUUCGCCCCCACCUUCUCCCCCGAAGAAAACUUCCAAAUCCUUGAUGAUACAACACCAGAAGAAUCCUUUAUUAUCCUUUUUAAAAGAUUGUCAAGACAAUCUGGUACCAAGAAUUUCAGCUAUUCAACUAUUAAAAGAAGAAAACAAUUUUCAAACAAAGUCAUCAUCUACUGAAAUAUUAACAGACUCCUCCUUAGAUUCCUCCUUAGAAGAUGAGUCCGGUAAAAAUCUUAAAAGGAUUGCCCAAGCUCAACUAAAGGUUGAGGCGUUUCUGAUGAUGAACCAAUGGCAGAUGCAACUCAACAAGGAGAAUCAUCAUUUCAAGCUCUAAGAGCUACAAAAGGACCAUCCAUUGGUUGAAUGGCCUUCACACUUGAUGAUAUUCCACCAGAAAAAUGGCCAGCCAGAAUUCAAGAAUUUCUUUAUUGGCUUGACACCCGAAAGCUUACUGAAGAAAGUAACUACAACAUUCUCUUGAAAUUUGUUUCCAGGUUUACAGGAAUGUUAAGAGAUUGGUGGAAUUCAAUUGAUCAAAAUUUAUAGAUGCAGUUCUUGGUCCUUCAAGAUUUGAGUAUUCCAAUCCGGAUCAUUCAUCAACAUUUUGUUGGCAAUCCAAAUGAUUUACUCAAUCUGAAGUGACAAGAGUAUUUUUUAAAAGAAAAUGUUGUUCCUCCAGCAAAAAAGACUUGUCACGGCAUUUCAAAAUAAUGACUCGACUUUUCUGCUCAUUAGGACUCAACAGUAAUCUCAAACCAAAAACUCUUGAUUCAAUCCCAAAUCCCCUACAAGUUGCAGUAAAUCAAGCUCUUUAGAGACAAAACAAAGACAUUCUGAGUCUUACAGUUGGAGAAAUUCAACAAGAAGUUUUUAUUGCUUUUGAAGAUAUUUGCAAUAGAAGGAAGAUUUUUAAAAAUUAUCUUUAUAGAGAUAAAAAGAUUGACAAAGCUUAUGAUGAUUUUUACUUGAAGUUCAAAUGCCCAAAAAAUCGUUCUUGCUUAUGUAGAACCAAAAAGAAAAGACAUUUCAAGAGAUCUAUCUUCCAACGUAACAAAUCCUCCAGAACUUCAAGAAAAUGGAAGCUAAAGUGUUGAUAUUUGAGAAAGAAGAAAUCUCCUCAAGAUAUAAAAUCAUCUAUAUGUUAUAUUUGCAAUAAAAAAAGGAGCAUUUUGCAAAAAAUUGUCCCAAUAACAAAAAAAAGUGCAAAGAUGAUUUAAUAGAUCCAAAAAAAGUUGAAAUUCAAAUAAAAAAAGAUGAUCUCAAAUCUCUUUUCUCAAUAGAUGAUGAACCAACAGAAAAGACUCUAUGUGCUAUUCCAAUUUAUUUUCCAGGCAGUGAAUCUGAUUUUUC
rnacentral:lncRNA from 1 species